UUAACACGAAGUGAGUGGCGAACGGGUGAGUAACACGUGGGUAACCUGCCCAGAAGUAGGGGAUAACACCUGGAAACAGAUGCUAAUACCGUAUAACAGAGAAAACCGCAUGGUUUUCUUUUAAAAGAUGGCUCUGCUAUCACUUCUGGAUGGACCCGCGGCGUAUUAGCUAGUUGGUGAGGUAAAGGCUCACCAAGGCAGUGAUACGUAGCCGACCUGAGAGGGUAAUCGGCCACAUUGGGACUGAGACACGGCCCAGACUCCUACGGGAGGCAGCAGUAGGGAAUCUUCCACAAUGGACGCAAGUCUGAUGGAGCAACGCCGCGUGAGUGAAGAAGGGUUUCGGCUCGUAAAGCUCUGUUGUUAAAGAAGAACGUGGGUAAGAGUAACUGUUUACCCAGUGACGGUAUUUAACCAGAAAGCCACGGCUAACUACGUGCCAGCAGCCGCGGUAAUACGUAGGUGGCAAGCGUUAUCCGGAUUUAUUGGGCGUAAAGCGAGCGCAGGCGGUCUUUUAAGUCUAAUGUGAAAGCCUUCGGCUCAACCGAAGAAGUGCAUUGGAAACUGGGAGACUUGAGUGCAGAAGAGGACAGUGGAACUCCAUGUGUAGCGGUGAAAUGCGUAGAUAUAUGGAAGAACACCAGUGGCGAAGGCGGCUGUCUGGUCUGCAACUGACGCUGAGGCUCGA
rnacentral:rRNA from 1 species